rnacentral:rRNA from 1 species
CCUACGGGCGGCAGCAGUGGGGAAUAUUGCACAAUGGAGGGAACUCUGAUGCAGCGACGCCGCGUGAGUGAGGAAGUAUUUCGGUAUGUAAAGCUCUAUCAGCAGGGAAGAUAAUGACGGUACCUGAGUAAGAAGCACCGGCUAAAUACGUGCCAGCAGCCGCGGUAAUACGUAUGGUGCAAGCGUUAUCCGGAUUUACUGGGUGUAAAGGGAGUGCAGGCGGUUAGAUAAGUCAGAUGUGAAAACCCGAGGCUCAACCACGGGAUUGCAUUUGAAACUGUAGAACUAGAGUAUCGGAGAGGCAAGUGGAAUUCCUAGUGUAGCGGUGAAAUGCGUAGAUAUUAGGAAGAACACCAGCGGCGAAGGCGGCUUGCUGGACGAUUACUGACGCUGAGGCUCGAAAGCGUGGGGAGCAAACAGGAUUAGAUACCCCGGUAGUC